GACUCAAUGGUCCAAUGGUAAAGCGCUCGCUGCCGAGUCAGAGAAUUCUGGGUUCGAUCCCCGACUGAGUCG
rnacentral:tRNA from 1 species